UUAGUAACGUUAGUAAACAUUUUAAAGUGUAGGGGCACUUAUAACAUGUAACAGUUCCUUACAAAAUGUAACAAUUAACAACAUUUGUUAGUAAAUGUUUUUAUGUUAGGAAAUGUUUACAAACAUUUUCUAACGGCGGUGUGGGAGCACCAUAUUAUUAUUAUUCGC